rnacentral:tRNA from 1 species
GCCGACGUAGCUCAGUUGGUAGAGCACAUCCAUGGUAAGGAUGGGGUCACGGGUUCAAGUCCCGUCGUUGGCUCAA